GAAAUGCGAUAAGUAAUGUGAAUUGCAGUAUUCAGUGAAUCAUCGAAUCUUUGAACGCACAUUGCGCCCGCCAGAAUUCUGGCGGGCAUGCCUGUUCGAGCGUCAUUUCAACCCUCGAGCUCCCCUUUCGGGGGGAGCCCGGCGUUGGGGACCCGGCGCUAACAACGCCGGCCCCGAAAUGGAGUGGCGGCCCGUCCGCGGCGACCUCUGCGUAGUAACGACCACUCGCACCGGGACCCGGGCGCGGCCACGCCGUAAAACACCCCACCUUCCGAAUGUUGACCUCGAAUCAGGUAGGAAUACCCGCUGAACUUAAGC
rnacentral:misc_RNA from 1 species